rnacentral:rRNA from 1 species
UGUGAACUCGAAGAGUAGGGCGGGACACGUGGUAUCCUGUCUGAAUAUGGGGGGACCAUCCUCCAAGGCUAAAUACUCCUGACUGACCGAUAGUGAACCAGUACCGUGAGGGAAAGGCGAAAAGAACCCCGGCGAGGGGAGUGAAAAAGAACCUGAAACCGUGUACGUACAAGCAGUGGGAGCACCUUCGUGGUGUGACUGCGUACCUUUUGUAUAAUGGGUCAGCGACUUAUAUUCUGUAGCAAGGUUAACCGUAUAGGGGAGCCGAAGGGAAACCGAGUCUUAACUGGGCGUUAAGUUGCAGGGUAUAGACCCGAAACCCGGUGAUCUAGCCAUGGGCAGGUUGAAGGUUGGGUAACACUAACUGGAGGACCGAACCGACUAAUGUUGAAAAAUUAGCGGAUGACUUGUGGCUGGGGGUGAAAGGCCAAUCAAACCGGGAGAUAGCUGGUUCUCCCCGAAAGCUAUUUAGGUAGCGCCUCGUGAACUCAUCUUCGGGGGUAGAGCACUGUUUCGGCUAGGGGGCCAUCCCGGCUUACCAACCCGAUGCAAACUACGAAUACCGAAGAAUGUUAUCACGGGAGACACACGGCGGGUGCUAACGUCCGUCGUGAAGAGGGAAACAACCCAGACCGCCAGCUAAGGUCCCAAAGUCAUGGUUAAGUGGGAAACGAUGUGGGAAGGCACAGACAGCCAGGAUGUUGGCUUAGAAGCAGCCAUCAUUUAAAGAAAGCGUAAUAGCUCACUGGUCGAGUCGGCCUGCGCGGAAGAUGUAACGGGGCUAAACCAUGCACCGAAGCUGCGGCAGCGACGCUUAUGCGUUGUUGGGUAGGGGAGCGUUCUGUAAGCCGUUGAAGGUGUGCUGUGAGGCAUGCUGGAGGUAUCAGAAGUGCGAAUGCUGACAUAAGUAACGAUAAAGCGGGUGAAAAGCCCGCUCGCCGGAAGACCAAGGGUUCCUGUCCAACGUUAAUCGGGGCAGGGUGAGUCGACCCCUAAGGCGAGGCCGAAAGGCGUAGUCGAUGGGAAACAGGUUAAUAUUCCUGUACUUGGUGUUACUGCGAAGGGGGGACGGAGAAGGCUAUGUUAGCCGGGCGACGGUUGUCCCGGUUUAAGCAUGUAGGCGGAGGUUCCAGGUAAAUCCGGUACCUUUUAACGCUGAGGUGUGAUGACGAGGCACUACGGUGCUGAAGUAACAAAUGCCCUGCUUCCAGGAAAAGCCUCUAAGCAUCAGGUAACACGAAAUCGUACCCCAAACCGACACAGGUGGUCAGGUAGAGAAUACCAAGGCGCUUGAGAGAACUCGGGUGAAGGAACUAGGCAAAAUGGUGCCGUAACUUCGGGAGAAGGCACGCUGAUAUGUAGGUGAAGCCCCUGCGGGUGGAGCUGAAAUCAGUCGAAGAUACCAGCUGGCUGCAACUGUUUAUUAAAAACACAGCACUGUGCAAACACGAAAGUGGACGUAUACGGUGUGACGCCUGCCCGGUGCCGGAAGGUUAAUUGAUGGGGUUAGCGGCAACGCGAAGCUCUUGAUCGAAGCCCCGGUAAACGGCGGCCGUAACUAUAACGGUCCUAAGGUAGCGAAAUUCCUUGUCGGGUAAGUUCCGACCUGCACGAAUGGCGUAAUGAUGGCCAGGCUGUCUCCACCCGAGACUCAGUGAAAUUGAACUCGCUGUGAAGAUGCAGUGUACCCGCGGCAAGACGGAAAGACCCCGUGAACCUUUACUAUAGCUUGACACUGAACACUGGUCCUUGAUGUGUAGGAUAGGUGGGAGGCUUUGAAGCGUGGACGCCAGUCUGCGUGGAGCC